rnacentral:rRNA from 1 species
AUUGAACGCUGGCGGCAGGCCUAACACAUGCAAGUCGAGCGGAUGAAGGGAGCUUGCUCCUGGAUUCAGCGGCGGACGGGUGAGUAAUGCCUAGGAAUCUGCCUGGUAGUGGGGGAUAACGUCCGGAAACGGGCGCUAAUACCGCAUACGUCCUGAGGGAGAGAGUGGGGGAUCUUCGGACCUCACGCUAUCAGAUGAGCCUAGGUCGGAUUAGCUAGUUGGUGGGGUAAAGGCCUACCAAGGCGACGAUCCGUAACUGGUCUGAGAGGAUGAUCAGUCACACUGGAACUGAGACACGGUCCAGACUCCUACGGGAGGAAGCAGUGGGGAAUAUUGGACAAAGGGCGAAAGCCUGAUCCAGCCAUGCCGCGUGUGUGAAGAAGGUCUUCGGAUUGUAAAGCACUUUAAGUUGGGAGGAAGGGCAGUAAGUUAAUACCUUGCUGUUUUGACGUUACCAACAGAAUAAGCACCGGCUAACUUCGUG